CUUCAAUCAGUGAGAUUUUUUCAUGUAAGCCAUAUUGGUCUUGUUUCGAGUCUAUAAAGUAGUUGCAUAGGUUGACCCAUUUUCUACCUUAUGGUGAUAGGCAUGAACUACUACUCGGCAUGAAGAAAAAAGGAACUGCAAGUCAGGUUUGUGGUAUUACUAUUCCUUUAUAUACACAAUUUGGUUUUGAUUGCUCCGUAUGCAUCUGAUAUGAUUUCUGUUUUAGUUGGUCUUUGGCUCUUUUAUUAGCUGUGUCUAUAGAAACCAUCUGCUAGUGAGAUUCAAAUGUUGAUACCAUAACCUACAGAUGUGUGAGAUUUCCUAGUAGCUUAAUUUAGCACUAUUUGGAUAUGUAAAUUAACUUAUGAGCAGAAUGUUUUGCUCAAUGUUGUUUAAAUCCUACAGUUUUCUAUUCGGAUCCUAUGAUCUAAUUGAAAUCUCAGAGGGGGCUGAAUUGCCUUUACGGAAGAUGAUGAAACGUCUGAAAUCCCAAAGAAAGAAGAAAACGUGUGAUGGACAGCCCGGAUCUCUUACAAUGUGCUAUGUUGGAACAUGGGCAGCAUCUGGGUUGUGGUGACUGUAGAUGGUGGAUGCAAGAAUGCAUUGUUUCUACAUUUGAAUGUGUCUAGAUUCCCAAUAGAAAUGUCAUUUAUGUAUAGACUGUUGAGGUUGCUUAUGCUGUUUCUAAACCGGAUGUGUUUGAGUGGUUUUGCUUCUUUGUAGCUGCAGUCAUCAGGAUGGAAGACGGAACAUCUUGUAUCGCCUUCGAUUGUUUGGAGAGAACAUUGGAUUCAUGAUCCUUCGAAUGAAAAGAUCAACUAGGAACAUAGCACAGCUUGCAAAGGUUAAGAUCAUGAAAAGACAGGGUCAUUGGGAGGACCUCCAAUUACAUGGCAGCAUUGAUAAUCCUCUCAGCCAAAUGGAACAAGAUUGGAUCGUCAAGCUGAUCAUUUUAACAACUGUCAUCUGGCCUUAGAAAGACCAAAUUGGGGUGAUCUUAGCAAUGGAACUGACUAUUUUUUCUGUGUUUAUUGCACUCCCGAUCUGGUCACUCUUCACCAAUCUGAUCAUCAGCUUCUUCAACAUCAAUAAGGGCUUUGCCAACAUGAUGUAGAGCGGGCCGCGGAUAGUUUCAUGGCCAAGAUGGAUCAGAAAAGGCCCGGUCAUCGAUAGAAGUGAUCCGCACCGUC